AGUAGCUCAGUUGGAUAGAGCAACGGCCUUCUAAGCCGUGGGUCGGGGGUUCGAAUCCCUUCUG
rnacentral:tRNA from 2 species